rnacentral:rRNA from 1 species
CCUACGGGAGGCAGCAGUGGGGAAUCUUGCGCAAUGGGCGAAAGCCUGACGCAGCCAUGCCGCGUGAAUGAUGAAGGUCUUAGGAUUGUAAAAUUCUUUCACCGGGGACGAUAAUGACGGUACCCGGAGAAGAAGCCCCGGCUAACUUCGUGCCAGCAGCCGCGGUAAUACGAAGGGGGCUAGCGUUGCUCGGAAUUACUGGGCGUAAAGGGAGCGUAGGCGGAUAGUUUAGUCAGAGGUGAAAGCCCAGGGCUCAACCUUGGAAUUGCCUUUGAUACUGGCUAUCUUGAGUACGGAAGAGGUAUGUGGAACUCCGAGUGUAGAGGUGAAAUUCGUAGAUAUUCGGAAGAACACCAGUGGCGAAGGCGACAUACUGGUCCGUUACUGACGCUGAGGCUCGAAAGCGUGGGGAGCAAACAGGAUUAGAUACCCUGGUAGUCCACGCUGUAAACGAUGAGUGNUAGUGUCGCAUGCAUGCAUGUCGGUGACGCGAGCUACGACAUUAAGUACACUCCGCCGUCGGGAGGUACGGUCGCGAGAAUUAAAACUUAAACUAAGUAAGUAGUAGUACGCGUAGAGAGCGACGACGACGACGACGGAGGAGAG